AUGCACUCACGAUGCAAUAGAAGAUGGCCGUACAAACAUGAUCCCUGCGUCCAAACACGAUCGCCGCAGGCAGCCGAACCAGUAGCUGGUCUCGUCGGCCAAUGCGGCUACUCCUACUCCACGGCCUCGAGAUCCCAGAGGUUGGCCGCGAAGGUGGCCGUGAUCACCGGCGCUGUUGGCGGCAUUGGCAAGGCAACAACGGCGGAGUUCGACAAGAACGGCACCAAGGUCGUCCUCACCAAUGUCCAGGACGAUCUAGGCCACGCUCUGGCGGCCGAGCUCGGCGCCGACUCCGCGGCGUACACCUGUUGCGACGUGACCGACGAGGCGUAGGUUGCCGCGGUGAUCGACCUUACCGUGGUCUGCCACGGUAAGCUUGACAUCAUGCUCAACAACGCCGGCAUCGUGGGUUCCCUCGCGCGGCCCGAGCUGGGCGCUCUCGACCUAACGGACUUCGGUGCCGUCAUGGCGAUCAACACCCGAGGCGUCAUGGUCGGGGUCAAGCACGUGACCCGCUUCAUGGCGCUGCACCGCGCACGCAGCACCAUCUGCACGGCCAGCAUCGUCGGCGUGCUAGGCCAGCUAACGCCGCACCCGUACAAUGUCUCCAAGUUCAUGGUAGUGGGGCUUGUGCGCUCCAUGGCGGGGGAGCUGGCGCGCUCGGGCGUGCGCGUCAACGUCAUGAUGGUCCGGCGAGCCGCGUGCUGCUCAUCGACGGUGAACGGCGAGGGAAAAGACGGGCAACCGAAAGAGCAGUGGGCAGGUCGGAGGGGCGGCAGCUCAAACCUUGUCCACGUGAAAGCUCAACGCCGUCGAUGGUUGGUCUUUUUAUUCGGGAAGACCGUGUACGUGAGGAUGCUAACUAGUUGGUGGUCAGGUGGGAUCCCGGUGGGCUAUUUGGGAUAG
rnacentral:rRNA from 1 species